rnacentral:piRNA from 1 species
UGGUCUUUGGUGUCCGUGGUACCAUUCC